AUUUAUAUAGUUUAAAAAAAACAUUAUAUUUUCAAUAUAAAAAUAAAUAAAUUAUUUUAUAAAUU
rnacentral:tRNA from 1 species